GGCGCAGGAUACUUGACGGGAUGGUUUCCUAGUACGAGAGGACCGGAAACCACGGACCUCCAGUGUUCCAGUUGUUCCGCCAGGAGCAUCGCUGGGUAGCUGUGUCCGGAAAGGAUAAGCGCUGAAUGCAUCUAAGCGCGAAGCCCACCCAAAGAUGAGGUAUCCCUCCACUUCGGUGGCUGAAGACCCCUCGAAGACUACGAGGUUGAUAGGCUGGACGUGUAAGUGCAGCAAUGUAUUUAGCUAACCAGUACUAAUCGGUCGUGAGGCUUGACCAC
rnacentral:rRNA from 1 species